rnacentral:rRNA from 1 species
AGCGAACGCUGGCGGCAGGCUUAACACAUGCAAGUCGAGCGGGCGUAGCAAUACGUCAGCGGCAGACGGGUGAGUAACGCGUGGGAACGUACCUUUUGGUUCGGAACAACCCAGGGAAACUUGGGCUAAUACCGGAUAAGCCCUUACGGGGAAAGAUUUAUCGCCGAAAGAUCGGCCCGCGUCUGAUUAGCUAGUUGGUGAGGUAACGGCUCACCAAGGCGACGAUCAGUAGCUGGUCUGAGAGGAUGAUCAGCCACAUUGGGACUGAGACACGGCCCAAACUCCUACGGGAGGCAGCAGUGGGGAAUAUUGGACAAUGGGCGCAAGCCUGAUCCAGCCAUGCCGCGUGAGUGAUGAAGGCCCUAGGGUUGUAAAGCUCUUUUGUGCGGGAAGAUAAUGACGGUACCGCAAGAAUAAGCCCCGGCUAACUUCGUGCCAGCCGCCGCAGU